rnacentral:rRNA from 1 species
CGGGUGAGUAAUGUCUGGGAAACUGCCUGAUGGAGGGGGAUAACUACUGGAAACGGUAGCUAAUACCGCAUAAUGUCGCAAGACCAAAGUGGGGGACCUUCGGGCCUCUUGCCAUCGGAUGUGCCCAGAUGGGAUUAGCUAGUAGGUGGGGUAACGGCUCACCUAGGCGACGAUCCCUAGCUGGUCUGAGAGGAUGGCCAGCCACACUGGAACUGAGACACGGUCCAG